UGACCUGAAAGUAUUUUCGAAAAACAAAAAUCGUCGGUUUAUUUUUAAACGACGCCCAACUCUCGCAACUUCCGUCAUUUGCUAAAAGAUAAAAUUAUUCCGACAUGGAAAACAUCCACGGCAUUCAGUUAAAAGAAAGACCAGGAAAAGUCGUACGAAUAAUUCCGAUUGGUUAAGGGCAGGGAGCCAGAGUGGCAAGUCAAGGUUGGCAAACCAAGUGAAAACCAAGGUAGAAAAUAGUUGUCGUUUGUUUCACGUUUGUUUCACGUUUCUUUCACGUUUGUUCAUUUUUUCGAAAUUGAAUUGCUUUUUAGCAGCUAUUUUUACAAGGCCUUGUUAGAUCGAGUUACACGAGGACCGACGAAGCGGAACGGGUCACUGAUCACCUAGACAACAACAACAACAAUACAAAAAAGAAAUCGUGCAAGUCCCUGCCCUCACACGACGGACCAAGGAUCAACCGCAAUCCGUCCAAGCGUGUCGAAGAAAGGGAAAGGGACUUUCGAUGUCAAACGAGACGGACGACGGACGACGGACGAAAAGAGACAUAAAAGAGGAUGAGAAACCUCGUCGUAGUCAUUGAGAUCUUGGCAGGAGCCAAAGUCCGUGUCGGCCGUCGAUUGAACCGACUGGAAACUGGGAACGCGGGAAAACGGACCGACCACCACAAAUUCGUUGGCCGCCGCCUCCUGACGACGGGGAGUCUGUCGAAGAGUAGCGACUGCUGGACAGCGAACGGGCAGAGAAUCGCCUACUGCCGCCCGACUGAUGAGCUGCGUACGAACGAGUGGUGGAACGCGAACGCUGCGAUCCGCCGGCCUCUUUGCCCAAAUGUUUCCAUUCGUUCAUGACGUGAUCGGUGCGGCCGAGGAAGUCACGGAUGGCCCGGCUCAACUUUGAAGACGUCGUGUCGGCCAUCGUAUGGGCUGGUAGCGGGCGAAAGUGUUGCCGGACGCCGGUCGACGUCGUCGUCGGGCGGCUGGGACGAUUUGCUGCACUGCCAACGCAAAUGGCCGACACGGAAGAGGAACGUACGGCUUUGUGUCCCAGGACGAAGCUCAUUCCAGCCUGGAUGACGACUCCUUCGUCCCGGGCGGCCAACGGAGCCGGUGGCGGAGUCGAUCGACGACUUUGAUGAUGCGACGGUCGCCGGGCAGAAACUGAUUGCGACAGGGAUUCGCUGUAAUAGCCGGACGUGAGGAUGGGCGAAAGAGCCAGCGAAAGUUGCGUCUGACUGUGAUCACGUUCGGCUUGGAUUUCCAGCCGACGUUUCGAUGAUAAAUGCGACGACAAGGAGCUCAUUCUUGUUUUGUUUUGCUGUUUUCUCUGGAAGGAAGGAAGGAAGGAAGGAAGGAAGAAAAGGAGCGAGAGAAGAGGGGAUCCCAGUGCAAAAAAAAAUGUCGGUGGCAGCAGGGGUUAGGUUAACAGCACAAAAUAUUCAAGCAAAGUGUAUGUGUAACCGCAGGGGCGUGAGAGUGGGGGCCAAAUAGAAAAAGAGAGAGAAAGACCUGGAGCCUUUGAUCGGCAGCAGUCAUAGGCAACAACUGGGCAAGAGUGGAACCACUACAAACAUCGACACGCACGCAACGAAACGCAACGAAACACACAUUUCUGCUUGAAGGUGUAGGCAACAGAUGAGUAAGAAUGAAAAUUUAAAAAAAAAAAGAGAUUGGGUGUGUGUGUGUGUGUGGGUUUGGCUCGGGUUCAAUUCCACUUUGCGCUCAACGAUGACGUUGGCUUCUUCUUUGUUCAUCUCUUUGGAGGGGCUGGAAUCAAGGAGAGGCUGCAAGCCAAGACUAGCGGUCCCUAACCUCAUCGAGUCGUUUCUUCCUGGCUCGUUUCUCUUCCUAGUCCAUAAGGCCAACCCUAGUCUCACACUACACAGGAUGCAAACGCUAUUUAUAGGAUGUUACGCCAGAACGCUUUUCGUCGAUUGACUAACGGGCAACAACCAUGUUCGAUGGCGAGCGGCAGUGGCCGAGAGAAGGGCGCAUUCCAUUGUCGAAAGGAAACGACGACAUUCGGAAUCGAUUGGAGACGGCCUAUCAGUUAAGUGAGAUUAUUUCCGCUCUGCUGCUGCUGCUGCUGGAUGCUGACAAUCUAUCGCGGCUGGGAGUUAUUUUCAAUGGAGUGAAGAAAACCCCAAAACAAACAACAACAACAACAAAAAAGGAGAAAGAUUUUGAAAGGCAUAUUGCUAGUUUUCGUCGAUACCACGUCGACUCUCUUGGCCAUUAACCAAACGAUCGUGUAAACAUGAAUGUCGAUCAGGCUAGACCUACAAGGCACGUCUAUGCGUGGUUAAUGGUUCGUACCUUGGUUUCAAGUCGGUCGGCGACGUAUUUGAGAUCGGCGCGCUCUUUUUCAAGAGCGGUGACUCUACUGCGCAGACUCUCGGCUUCCUCCUACGCCCAAACAAGGAAGGAAAAAAAAAAAAAAAGUGUUGGUUCAAAUGACGCGUUGAAAUUGCGUUGGGGCCAAUAAAAGAAGAAGAAGAAGAAGCAGGAAAAUUACCGUUCUCGCUUUGAGCUCCUCUUCGGUCCGGUGGACGUUGAGCAGAGGAGACAAACGGAGCAUUAGGCGCCACCAAGGCCACACCUGAAUGGCCUGCAAUUUGCGCACGUUGCGUUGGAUGCAGCGAAUGGCAACAUCUUGCACCUGCGCAAUUUCACCAAUCGUUUUCACCAGAAACAACCAAAACCAAACGAAACCAACGAAAAACGGAGAAAUUUAGCACAAGCAAAACGACGAAUGGAUGAAUUUCUCUUGAUUUUCACCUUGAGUUUGAUUAAGCGUUUGCGCGCCAGGAAGCCUCGACAUUGCGCCUGGAAUUUGACGACACGGCUCGUGAUUUUUUCAUCGCGCUGAUCUUCCAGUUGAGACAAAACUCCCGGCCGGAAGAAAACCUGAAACAACAGAAAGUAAAAGAAAAAUCAAACCGAGAAUUAAAAAAAAAGCUCACACUCGCGAAUGAAAAAAACUAUAGACCACAAUUCCCAGGAAAUAAUGGAAUAGAUGAGGCUAAAGAGGGUACGCAAGAUGGCCGCCAUCGCCACCACCUCACGCAAAAACGCAAAAACGCAAAAACGCAAACGAAAAGUACCUCGUUGGAGGUUUUCGAUUGAAUGAGAACGUCGACCACUUGGUCUAAAUCCAUUUCGCUUUCCAAAUCGCUCCAACGAAUGUCGUCGCACAUCGUCUUCGUCCACAUCCACCUCGUCGUCGGUCGAGGUGGCGGAGAAGAGACGGUCAUCGCUCGAUGGAUUGCGAGCAAAUAUCUCCAGUUCGAUUUGUUUGUCUUCCUCCUCGACGUCGUCUUUGUCGUCGUCGUGCGCAGCGAAAUGAUCCACUUGUACGCGAUGAGCCGUCAAGUAAAUGUAACGUCUGGAAGGCAGUUCCGGCUCGGGACUGGGCGGCGUCGUCGACGUAUAACCCGACGACGACGUCGUGCUACCGCAAUUGAAAAGACUCAAAUUGCUGCCGUUAUCGAGCAAUGCCGCCGCACGGUGCGGCUGUUUGCCUUCGGCUGGUUGGUGCUGCAACGUCCGAAACGAUCGGCCAUCCGGCACUCCGUUGCGAGCCGGACACGAUUGACUCCUUUUCUUCCGCUUGUCGCCGUCGUCCCCGUCUUCUUUAGUUGGCGUCACAUCGACUGGCCCGUCGAAUUAAAUCUUCAAAGGCUUUGAUUCGAUCGGCCACUGCCGGAGCCGAGUCCAGUGGAUCAACGCGCGGAUCGUCUUCGUUGCGCCUGUUAUCCGUGCGAUAGGGCCGAUGUUGCUGGCUGAUGAUUGGAUUGGACGUCGAGAUCCUCAUGGUCGAUUUUUACCAGAGUCGAUCACUUCAGACUUUGGCAGCUAACUGGCUAAGAGAGUUGGUCUGUGGCGACUCUGCCCGCACCGAAACGCGUCUUCUUCGCCACUGAUUCCAUCCGGCACUGUGAAAGUGUUGGAAUGAGAAUGAACGACGAUGAGCCUCUUUUCCUUCUUCUCGCCUCAUCAACUCCUUUUUUUUUUUUUCUUUCUUCUUCUUUUCUUCCUCCUCCUAACAUCCCCUAAGCCAACUACCUACCCCUCAAGGGCACACUCGGUGCGUGAUGUGUUCAAUAUAGGCAAAAGUGUGUGUGUGUUUGUGUGUUACGAAUAGUGGCGCUUAGAGCCACAGGUGGAUGCCACGUUCCGUUUAACGCCCGGUCGCCUGUUUUUUCGUAAGUUUUGGUGGUGUGGUGUGGUGUGGUGUGGUGUGGCGACCAAACAAAACAACAACAACACCAACAAAAAAAAAGAAGGUUGUCGACCGGACAACUUGGCAGGACGGGCGCUAACGUGAGAAUCUUUUCUUUUUUCUUUCCCCUUUAAUUUCCAAUUGUUGCGUCCGAGACGAUCCGACGAAACGAAGAAAAAUCAAACAGAAAGAAGCCAACAAGAAGAGACGAUGGAAACAGUGAGAGAAGGCAAAUGGUUGGGCAGUCCGUCAUUACAGACCACUGGCCAGCUGACGUCGUUGGGUCUUUUUCCGCUUCGUUUCCACUGGAAAACUCGUCCGUUUCUCCCGACUGCCGCCCACCAUUUCGUUUUGAGAUCAAAAAGAAUGAGGUGACAUGAAUGUCUCGAUGCCGCCACCGCCACCACCCUCACCACGGCCAACAAUCAACAAAGAAUGCAAAGCCGAAAGGCCAAUCGGUCAAUCGAAUGGGAAUCCAUUCCCAGCUAAAUCGAGUUCGAUUGUGGAAAAUUGGGUUGACGCAAACUGGGCACCUCGAUUUCCCUCAUUAUGUCGCCCUCCCUUUCUCGCGUGUUUUCACGGUUGGACAAACAGACCGGCCAUCCAUCCAAUUGUAGUAGCCCUCAAGAGAUAACGAGUUGCAUUUACACAGAAUGAAUAGGGGAAAGCCAUCUGACAUGCGACUGCACAAUCACAAUCGAUUGUCCCUUCAUUUGACACGCAUUGAGUUUCGUUUCUUUUCCCCGUGCCAUCAAGACGUCCGUGAAAAGAAAAGAAAAGAAAAGAGGAAAAUCACCUGACUAAGACCGAGGCGGUAAGAUGAUCGUUCCAUGUCGAUAUGUAGCAAAAGGAUUUCGGCCGCUUGUUUCUCGCUGGCCGUCGAGUUGUUGAGACCCGUCAGCAGAGAAGCGGGCAACGCGUCAGGUGGCACCACAACGUUGAAACGGCGGACAAAUUCGCCAAGUGGCAUAUAAUCCGGAUAGCCUUGUCGAUACAAACGAAUGGCCGGAAGCAAUUCCGAUCCACGCAACUAAAA